rnacentral:lncRNA from 1 species
ACCUCUAGGGCAACAAAUGUAUCUCCUCAUCUCUUUUAAAAUUUCUCUGGUUAAUAGUUAAAUUUAGGCUCUUGAAAACUGUAUUAUCACUAGAUCCAAAGUUUGGCCAUAGGGUAUGGGUCUAUGUGUCAAUCUCUACUGUUGCCCACUGAAAACAAGUUUUCUAUAAGCAUUCCUUGAUCAAAAUUGUCAUAUUGAGGAUUGUUCUAAAUUUUCAAUUUAAUUCCUAAAGGACUGUCCCUAGGAAUUCUGUUUACUUCCCUUGUACCUGGUUCAAUUUCCUCUAGUAUGGAUCUCUGUUGCUUCUUCUGAACUGAUGAUUUUUACCCUAGGUCUCUGUCUUGAAAAUUUCUAAUCUUUGCUUAUUUGGCCUACUGCCCAGAAGCCACAUCGCUUGCUGUUCUCUUGUCAUUUGUCAAAAAUUAAAAAAGCUUUUUGUUUUUCUCUUUCAUAGUUUUAAUAUCUUGCUUCCUUAAUUCUACCUCAAUUUACUUACAGGUCUCAAGACUAGUCCACGAUGUCUCCUAUUCCUACUAAUCUUCCAAGAACCUCUGAAUGAAAAAGUCCUGUGUUUAUACACAGGGGUUUAAUUUCUGCAGCACUUCUACCUUGCCAAUUAGCCCAGAUCCAGCAAUUAUUGAUCUCCACCUGCUCCUAUCUCCACUCAGAUCAAUAUUCCUUUCUGGUUCACAACCUCACCAACCAUCUCAGUUUUACUUCCUUCCGGGUGUUGAAGGUGGGAGGAGUGUUGGCUUCCCAGUCUGGAUUUGGAGUGCCUCUUCUUGGUUCAGCCCAAAGACACAGACCCAAUCAGCUCUUGAAGGUUAGAACUUUCCUUGGUUACUUGCUGUCUACCGCUAAGUUUCUGAAUUUGACAAAGCUAACACAGAUAUAGUGUAGACGGGCGUGGGAGAAACCCUCCACCAGCCUGUGAGGCCGGGCCUCAGCUCCAAGCUGAAGAAGACUCCAACUUUAUUUAGGGACAUCCCUCGUCCCUCUUUCCUGAUACCUCUCCAAUCCAAACUGGUUAUUAAUCUUUAUCUUAUUUGAAUUUGCAGUUAGAUAAGUAGACUAUCUUUUCUGGGGCAUAGAGGGAGAUGAACAUCACUUCAAUCAUUCAACGACAAACAGUCCUUAUUGGACCCCUGCUGCUUCCUCUCAGCAGGGAGCAUCUCUCUCCUUUGCCUCACCAGAAGCAAUAUUCCUCUCUCAUGUCAACUCCUCCAUACCCUGAUACAAACCUUCAUUAUCCCCUGUUUUUUUUUUUAAUUUCUCCAUCUUUUCCCAAUAAAUAUAGCAUAAGGAAAUUUAUCCCCUCCCCC